rnacentral:rRNA from 1 species
UACGUAGGGUGCGAGCGUUAAUCGGAAUACUGGGCGUAAAGCGUGCGCAGGCGGUAAGUUAAGUCUGGAUGUGAAAGCCCCGGGCUCAACCUGGGAAUGGCAUUGGAAACUGGCUUGCUGGAGUGUGGCAGAGGGGGGUGGAAUUCCGCGUGUAGCAGUGAAAUGCGUAGAGAUGCGGAGGAACACCGAUGGCGAAGGCAGCCCCCUGGGCUAGCACUGACGCCUCAGGCACCGAAAGCGUGGGGAGCAAACAGG